rnacentral:pre_miRNA from 1 species
GAGGCCGGAUCCUGGAUCCUGGGCUGUGUCUCGGCGCCCUGUGCUCCCGGGCCUGUGCUGUUGGAUUGGCGCUCCCGCCCCGCAGCCCCUU